rnacentral:rRNA from 1 species
AAUAUUGCACAAUGGGGGAAACCCUGAUGCAGCGACGCCGCGUGAGCGAAGAAGGCCAUCGGGUAGUAAAGUCCUGUCCUAAGGGACGAAAGGGAAGGUACCCGAGGAGGAAGCCACGGCUAACUACGUGCCAGCAGCCGCGGUAAUAAGUAGGGGGCGAGCGUUAUCCGGAAUUAUUGGGCGUAAAGGGUGCGUAGGCGGCCUUUUAAGGCAGAUGUGAAAGGCUACGGCUUAACCGUAGUUAGCAUUUGAAACUAACAGGCUUGAGUGCAGGAGAGGGGAGUGGGAAUCCUAGUGCAGCGGUGAAAUGCGUAGAUAUUAGGAGGAACACCAGUGGCGAAGGCGACUCUCUGGACUGCAACUGACGCUGAGGCACGAAAGCGUGGGGAGCGAAC